rfam:Piscirickettsia sp. Y2 scaffold00007, whole genome shotgun sequence.
AAAAAAGCCUCUUUUGAGGCUACUUUUAUAUACUUUCUAAUAAAG